CAUUAUGCUGAACUUCCAGAACCAGCUAGAGAUAAAACAGCGACAGAGUCCUUCCUUCUGGUGAAAUGGACAGAUGAGCAGGCAGGCGACCUCUAUGGAGAGACAGACGCAGCUGAGAGGAUUCAGGCCCCUUUGUCUUAUUUUCCGACAUUGUCAAGGAUCCACAUUACAAGGUUGAAGAGAAGCAGUGAUGGCAGGAGAUUAGAACACAGGCAUACACAGAGGGAAGACCACAUGAGGACACAGGGAGAAGACGUCCGUCUGCAAGCCAAGGAGAGAGACCUCAGAGGAAACCAACCCUGCUGACACCUUGAUCUCAGACUUCUAGCCUCCAGAUUUGUGAGGAAAUAAAUUUCUGUUGUUUAA